AGAGCGAACGCUGGCGGCAGGCCUAACACAUGCAAGUCGAGCGCCCAGCAAUGGGAGCGGCAGACGGGAUAGUAACACGUGGGAACGUACCUUUCAGUUCGGAACAACCCAGGGAAACUUGGGCUAAUACCGAAUACGCCCGUAAGGGGAAAGAUUUAUCGCUGAAAGAUCGGCCCGCGUCUGAUUAGCUAGUUGGUGGGGUAAUGGCCCACCAAGGCGACGAUCAGUAGCUGGUCUAAGAGGAUGAUCAGCAUCACUGGGACUGAGACACGGCCCAGACUCCUACGGGAGGCGGCAGUGGGGAAUAUUGGACAAUGGGCGCAAGCCUGAUCCAGCCAUGCCGCGUGGAUGAUGAAGGCCCUAGGGUUGUAAAGUCCUUUCGGCGGGGAAGAUAAUGACGGUACCCGCAGAAGAAGCCCCGGCUAACUUCGCGCCAGCAGCCCGC
rnacentral:rRNA from 1 species